UACGUAGGGUGCAAGCGUUAAUCGGAAUUACUGGGCGUAAAGCGUGCGCAGGCGGUUUUGUAAAGUCUGUCGUGAAAGCCCCGGGCUCAACCUGGGAAUUGCGAUGGAGACUGCAAGGCUUGAAUCUGGCAGAGGGGGGUAGAAUUCCACGUGUAGCAGUGAAAUGCGUAGAGAUGUGGAGGAACACCGAUGGCGAAGGCAGCCCCCCUGGGUCAAGAUUGACGCUCAUGCACGAAAGCGUGGGGAGCAAACAGG
rnacentral:rRNA from 1 species